rnacentral:misc_RNA from 1 species
UUUCCGUAGGUGAACCUGCGGAAGGAUCAUUAAAGAGAAUAUGCCCUUCGGGGUAGAUCUCCCACCCUUUGUUUAUAUUACCUUUGUUGCUUUGGCAGGCCCGUCCUCGGACCACCGGCUUCGGCUGGUCAGUGCUUGCCAGAGGACCCAAAACUCUUAUUAUUAAUGUCGUCUGAGUACUAUAUAAAAGUUAAAACUUUCAACAACGGAUCUCUUGGUUCUG